rnacentral:rRNA from 1 species
UACGGAGGUGACAAGCGUUGUCCGGAUUUACUGGGUGUAAAGGGCGCGUAGGCGGGAUAGCAAGUCAGUCGUGAAAUGCCGAGGCUUAACCUCGGAGCUGCGAUUGAAACUGUUAUUCUUGAGUAUCGGAGAGGAAAGCGGAAUUCCUAGUGUAGCGGUGAAAUGCAUAGAUAUCACGCAGAACUCCGAUUGCGAAGGCAGCUUACUAAGCCAUAACUGACACUGAAGCACGAAAGCGUGGGGAUCAAACAGG